ensembl:lncRNA
UUCUUCACUAUUAGGGCGUUUGCAGGCCGAGAGAAAGCUGAAAACGCACAGAACACAAGAAUGCAUUGGUUAACAGUGUUCUCCUCAAACUAGCACCUCAGGAAAGUACAUUCAUCUGUUUAAUGAUGGUAUCAUGAUUUGUGAAUAGUUUUACAACCUUUUUUGUUCAAACUAAGUUUUGAUGCUUUCUUCCCUAUUAGGGUUAGGGUUUGCAGGCUGAGAGAAGGCUUAAGAACGCACAAAACACAAGAAUGCAUUGGUUAACAGUGUUCUCCUCAAACUAGCACCUCAGGAAAGUCCAUUUAUCUGUUUUAUGAUAGUAUUAUGAUUUGUGAAUAUUUUUCCAACCUUUUUUGUUCAAACUGAGUUUUGGUGCUUUCUUCACUAUAAAGGCGUUUGCAGGCCGAGAGAAGGCUGAAAAACUUUGUCUGUAAAUACAUGCGAUCCUACAAUGUGGUUGAAAAUCCGGAGUUCUGUGAAUUGAUCCAAACAUUGUGUAGUUAUUGUGUAAUGCUUACAUUGAAAAUGGUUGCACUUGAUUCAAAUAAAAGGUUAAUACAUCUGCCAUUAAUUGUU